rnacentral:lncRNA from 10 species
AUGAAUCCAAUAUUUCUGAUGCCAGUAAAAUCUCCUUGGCUCUGGAAUAGUCAUUUUCCGUGAAGUGCAGCCCUCUCACAUGCACAAACUUGCUGAAAACAAAACGAUGAAGCACCAGGAAGCUGACAGCCAGUCAUUUUCUGACACAAUGGUGUUUUUACAAGAGGCACACAAAAGAGAGACACAGAGAGAAGAUGAGAAGACUGAGGCAGACAUUGGAAUGACGCAACCAGGAGCCAAGGAAUGCCUGGAUCCAUGGGAAGCAGAAGAGGCUUUCUCACCAUGUGAUGCAUUCUGCUAUGUUAUGAUACAGCAAGAAGGGCCUCACAAGAUGUGACCUCUUGUUCUUGGACUUCUCAGCCUCCAGAAUCAUGAGAAAAAAAGGCUCAGCACUGUGAAGACUGAUUGCCACCUCCCCCUUCCCCAGCAAUCUCGUGGAGAUCUGGUCAGAGAAGCUGUUCCAUCUCCCACAAACCUCGUGGCUCAGAAGCAGAGGUGGAGGCUGCAGACCUCAUGUCAGGACUGGGUCGACUAAAAUAAAAACAGUCCCCCUAGUCUGGAUGCCCUGUGUACCUUGCAACUGAGAAAAUGUGAAUGAAACCAUGAAAUACUAUGCAGCCAUAAAAAGGAAUGAAAUUAUGUCUUUUGUAGGAACAUGAAUGGAGCUAGAAGCCAUUAUUCUCAGCAAACUAACACAGGAACAGAAAACCAAACACCACAUGUUCUCACUUAUAAGUGGGAGCUGAAGAAUGAGAACCCAUGGACACAGGGAGGGGAAAAACACACAGGGGCCUAUCAGGGGGUGUGGUGGGGGGAAGGAGAGCAUUGGAAAAAUAGCUAAUGCAUGCUUGGCUUAAGUUCUACGUGAUAGGUUGAUAGGUGCAGCAAACCACCAUGGCACACGUUUACCUAUGUAACAAACUUGCACAUCCUGCACAUGUACCCCAGAACUUAAAAAUAAAAAUGAAAAUAAAAAAUAUUAGAUUUGAAAGGGUUUCAUCAUCUAACAAGAGCUCUUUGAAUCUUACAGAUAAACUCCUUUUCCUGACAUCUGCCAGUGAAAAUUCUGCAUCAGGGUAUAGUCUGUGUGACUAGCUUUGUCUUGAUGAAGGGUUUACUCCCUGCCCCAAAGGGCGAUUGGAAGCAAGGCUGGACCUGUGUGUGUGUGUGCAUGUGUGUAUGUGUGAAGUCCUAAAGGAACCUGGAUAAGUGCAAAUGGAGACUGCACAGGAGUUGAGGCCUCGUGCUGGGACACUCACCUUUGUUGGGUGUGCACUGAAGCUGCAACACCUUUGGGAUUUGGGGAUUGCAGAUGAGGUCACACUUUAUUUCCUCCUUUAACAGACUUCUAGUGACAUUCAGGGAAGGGGCAGAUGUCCCUCCUCCAGCUGGCAGGGCAACAGACAUUAGGAAGGAGGACCACAGUGGGAAGACAAUAAAUACCACGAUGACAGGGUUUUCU